GACGAACGCUGGCGGCGUGCUUAACACAUGCAAGUCGAACGGAAAGGCCCUGCUUUUGUGGGGUGCUCGAGUGGCGAACGGGUGAGUAACACGUGAGUAACCUGCCCUUGACUUUGGGAUAACUUCAGGAAACUGGGGCUAAUACCGGAUAGGAGCUCCUGCUUCAUGGUGGGGGUUGGAAAGUUUCGGCGGUUGGGGAUGGACUCGCGGCUUAUCAGCUUGUUGGUGGGGUAGUGGCUUACCAAGGCUUUGACGGGUAGCCGGCCUGAGAGGGUGACCGGCCACAUUGGGACUGAGAUACGGCCCAGACUCCUACGGGAGGCAGCGGUGGGGAAUAUUGCACAAUGGGCGGAAGCCUGAUGCAGCAACGCCGCGUGCGGGAUGACGGCCUUCGGGUUGUAAACCGCUUUCGCCUGUGACGAAGCGUGAGUGACGGUAAUGGGUAAAGAAGCACCGGCUAACUACGUG
rnacentral:rRNA from 1 species